GAACCUUUACUAUAGCUUGACACUGAACAUUGAGCCUUGAUGUGUAGGAUAGGUGGGAGGCUUUGAAGUGUGGACGCCAGUCUGCAUGGAGCCGACCUUGAAAUACCACCCUUUAAUGUUUGAUGUUCUAACGUGGACCCGUAAUCCGGGUUGCGGACAGUGUCUGGUGGGUAGUUUGACUGGGGCGGUCUCCUCCUAAAGAGUAACGGAGGAGCACGAAGGUUGGCUAAUCCUGGUCGGACAUCAGGAGGUUAGUGCAAUGGCAUAAGCCAGCUUGACUGCGAGCGUGACGGCGCGAGCAGGUGCGAAAGCAGGUCAUAGUGAUCCGGUGGUUCUGAAUGGAAGGGCCAUCGCUCAACGGAUAAAAGGUACUCCGGGGAUAACAGGCUGAUACCGCCCAAGAGUUCAUAUCGACGGCGGUGUUUGGCACCUCGAUGUCGGCUCAUCACAUCCUGGGGCUGAAGUAGGUCCCAAGGGUAUGGCUGUUCGCCAUUUAAAGUGGUACGCGAGCUGGGUUUAGAACGUCGUGAGACAGUUCGGUCCCUAUCUGCCGUGGGCGCUGGAGAACUGAGGGGGGCUGCUCCUAGUACGAGAGGACCGGAGUGGACGCAUCACUGGUGUUCGGGUUGUCAUGCCAAUGGCACUGCCCGGUAGCUAAAUGCGGAAGAGAUAAGUGCUGAAAGCAUCUAAGCACGAAACUUGCCCCGA
rnacentral:rRNA from 2 species